UCUAAUUUAACAUAUAUAGUAAUGUGACCAGCAUAACAAUUCUAUUAAUAUCGGUCACUUUAAGCCA
rnacentral:tRNA from 1 species